rnacentral:misc_RNA from 1 species
CAAGGCCGAAAAGAUUGGUGGGAAGAACUGAACAAAGUCAGCAGAAGCUAUAGUAGGCGGCCAGGUGUCGGGCCGCCAAAGGGC